CAGAAGUUGCUGGCAGCUGCUUUUUAUCACCGGUUAGAACUGCCCUGCCUGGGAAGCCCCGGUGUUUAUGAGGAACUGCAGAAAGCCCCUGGCC